GUGAGAAGGCAAGAUGCAAUGAAGGAACAGAACACAGAGAGCUCUGUUCUUCCUUGAGCACAAGAACGUUUCUGACCUACAGGAAGCGUAGCGCAUCACCUGCAGUGAUGCAGUCUGCCCCGCUGAUGAGUUGAGCUCUGCUCUGCUUUGCAGUGGAUAUGCUUUCACUACACUUUUCAGUGAAGGGCAAUAAUGCUCCAGGCUCUCUUCCUCUGCCACCUUUCUUUCCUGGCUGUCCCCAAAAAAGGCUGCAAAUUAGUUUCUGGGGAGAUCCUCAUGUCAACACCUUGCAGUGCUCAACACACUGUGCUUGCCAGGCAGUGCUACUCAAAGGACCUGAGCUGUCAGCAACGAGGGGGCUGUCACUGGAACACCUGAACUUCAGCUGCAGAGUCCAUCACUCUUUGAGCUGGUUUUUGCCAGCCUUGGCUGAAGUUUUUAUAAAGCAGCUUUUAUUAAAACCUACUUGGAAUAUGAAUUUGAAAAAGCAAGGUCUUGUUUUCUCUAGUCUACUGUCCUUCACAGUUCUUUAACAAUCUUUAUAAUGCUUCUCUGCUUUGUCUUGGCAGUUUGCUAGAGCGAUUGAGUUUUCGUAAGUGUCAGAACAAUGUCAAGACGAUGUGAAGACAGUGUCAAGGCAAAUGUGUACAGGUGAUGCUUUGAAGGAGGGAAAGCACUGUCAGUGCUCCACAGUGAAAAUAUUUAGGUGAUAAAACCAUUGCCACUAUGAGCAAAAGCAAGUGGAGAUAUCUAGGUUAUUUUUUGCAAGGAUGCCUUUCCUGCCUAAUUCUUAUCCCAUGUCUUCUAGACCACGUUCCAGUUUCUAAUACCCUAUCAAUAGGACGCCAUUCUGAUCUAAGCGUGUGGUGCGCUAAUUUGUAACAAGCCCGCUUCACCAGAAGUCAGAGAACAGGAAUUCCGAAAGACUCUUUCAGGGUGAGGUGCAAUUCACCUUCAGAGCAGUUUCCAAAUUGAGAACUGAUCUCACAGUGAGCCUGCGAAUUUGCUGUGUGUGUGUGUGUGUGUGUGUGUGUNCAAUUUGGAUCGUUCACAUCUGAGUCCGUGCAUCAGACGCUGCACUUUUUUGGGAAGAAAUAAAAUUCAGCACAUUUACAAGGAGAGGAAAGGAACCUAUUCCUCUGCCCUC
rnacentral:lncRNA from 1 species